GACCUGGUGGUGAAAUGUAUCAUGCCCACUCUGCCUAUGCUUGUUGGAAAUGUUGGUGGAAAUCUCCGGUUCGAAUCCGGGCCAGGUCA